UACGAAGGGGGCUAGCGUUGUUCGGAAUUACUGGGCGUAAAGCGCGCGCAGGCGGUUUUCCAAGUCAGUGGUGAAAGCCCGGAGCUCAACUCCGGAAUUGCCAUUGAAACUGUUAAACUUGAGUACGAGAGAGGUGAGUGGAAUUCCCAGUGUAGAGGUGAAAUUCGUAGAUAUUGGGAAGAACACCGGUGGCGAAGGCGGGUCUCUGGGCAGUAACUGACGCUGAGGAGCGAAAGCGUGGGGAGCGAACAGG
rnacentral:rRNA from 1 species